CUUCAGAUUACUGAGCGCAAGGUCGUGUCCAUUGCUACCGAGUUCUCUCCUGCCGAAAAGAGGUUCUACGACCGUCUUGAAACACGGACCCNNGAACGGGACGCCUUAGAGGGUGAGAGCCCCGUACGGUUGGACACCAAGCCUCUGUAAAGCUCCUUCGACGAGUCGAGUAGUUUGGGAAUGCUGCUCUAAAUGGGAGGUAAAUUUCUUCUAAAGCUAAAUACCGGCCAGAGACCGAUAGCGCACAAGUAGAGUGAUCGAAAGAUGAAAAGCACUUUGAAAAGAGGGUUAAAUAGCACGUGAAAUUGUUGAAAGGGAAGCGUUUACGGCCAGACCUUUUCCUGGCGGAUCAUCUGGUGUUCUCACCAGUGCACUCCGCCAGGUUUAGGCCAGCAUCGGCUCCCGUAGGGGGAUAAAAGCAGUGGGAAAGUAGCUCCCUCGGGAGUGUUAUAGCCCGCUGCACAAUACCCUUACAGGGGCCGAGGACCGCGCUCUUGCAAGGAUGCUGGCGUAAUGGUCGUCAACGACCCGUCUUGAACC
rnacentral:rRNA from 1 species